UACGUAGGGGGCAAGCGUUGUCCGGAUUUAUUGGGCGUAAAGAGCGUGUAGGCGGCCAGGUAGGUCUGGUGUGAAAACUCGAGGCUUAACCUCGAGAUGUCAUCGGAAACCAUCUGGCUAGAGUCCGGAAGAGGAGAGUGGAAUUCCUGGUGUAGCGGUGAAAUGCGUAGAUAUCAGGAGGAACACCUGCGGUGUAGACGGCGUACUGGACCGUAACUGACGCUGAGGCACGAAAGCGUGGGUAGCAAACAGG
rnacentral:rRNA from 1 species